GGGCCUAUAGUAAAAUGGCAUUACGCCUCCAUGGCAUGGAGGAGGUCGGGGUCCGAUUCCCCGUAGGUCCA
rnacentral:tRNA from 1 species